AGUGAACGCUGGCGGCGUGCUUAACACAUGCAAGUCGAACGAGAACGGGUUAUGGCUUGCUAUAAUUGUCAGCUAAGUGGCGCACGGGUGAGUAAUGUAUAGGUAAUAUGCCUCUUACUAAGGGAUAACAAAUGGAAACGUUUGCUAAUACCUUAUACUCCUUAUUAACAUAAGUUAAUAAGGGAAAGAUUUAUUGGUAAGAGAUUAGCCUGUAUUGUAUCAGUUAGUUGGUGGGGUAAUGGCUUACCAAGACUAUGACACAUAACUGGUUUGAGAGGAUGAUCAGUCACACUGGAACUGAGACACGGGCCAGACUCCUACGGGAGGCAGCAGUGGGGAAUAUUGCACAAUGGACGAAAGUCUGAUGCAGCAACGCCGCGUGGAGGAUGACACAUUUCGGUGCGUAAACUCCUUUUAUAUGAGAAGAUAAUGACGGUAUUAUAUGAAUAAGCACCGGCUAACUCCGUGCCAGCCGCCGCCGUAA
rnacentral:rRNA from 1 species